rnacentral:rRNA from 1 species
GAUGAACGCUAGCUACAGGCUUAACACAUGCAAGUCGAGGGGAAACGAUAGAGAAAGCUUGCUUUUUCUAGGCGUCGACCGGCGCACGGGUGAGUAACGCGUAUCCAACCUGCCCACCACUUGGGGAUAACCUUGCGAAAGUAAGACUAAUACCCAAUGACGUCUCUAGAAGACAUCUGAAAGAGAUUAAAGAUUUAUCGGUGAUGGAUGGGGAUGCGUCUGAUUAGCUUGUUGGCGGGGUAACGGCCCACCAAGGCGACGAUCAGUAGGGGUUCUGAGAGGAAGGUCCCCCACAUUGGAACUGAGACACGGUCCAAAACUCCUACGGGAGGCAGCAGUGAGGAAUAUGGUCAAUGGACGAGAGUCUGAACCAGCCAAGUAGCGUGCAGGAUGAGGCCCUAUGGGUUGUAAACUGCUUUUAUAAGGGAAUAAAGUGGGAGUCGGUGACUCUUUUUGCAUGUACCUUAUGAAU